rnacentral:rRNA from 1 species
UACGUAGGUCCCGAGCGUUGUCCGGAUUUAUUGGGCGUAAAGCGAGCGCAGGUGGUUUAUUAAGUCUGGUGUAAAAGGCAGUGGCUCAACCACUGUAUGCAUUGGAAACUGGUAGACUUGAGUGCAGGAGAGGAGAGUGGAAUUCCAUGUGUAGCGGUGAAAUGCGUAGAUAUAUGGAGGAACAUCGGUGGCGAAAGCGGCUCUCUGGCCUGUAACUGACACUGAGGCUCGAAAGCGUGGGGAGCAAACAGG